ACAUGCAAGUCGAGGGGCAGCACAAGGAUAGCAAUAUUCUGGUGGCGACCGGCGCACGGGUGAGUAACACGUAUGCAACCUACCUGUAAGAGGGGAAUAACCCGGAGAAAUUCGGACUAAUACCGCAUAAUACCUUUAAGCUGCAUGGCUUAAAGGUUAAACAUUUAUGGCUUACAGAUGGGCAUGCGUAACAUUAGAUAGUUGGUGAGGUAACGGCUCACCAAGUCAACGAUGUUUAGGGGUUCUGAGAGGAAGGUCCCCCACACUGGUACUGAGACACGGACCAGACUCCUACGGGAGGC
rnacentral:rRNA from 1 species